AACGCACGAGACCUGCGGACCUGCGGAGGGAUCAUUACCGAGUGCGGGCCCUCUGGGUCCAACCUCCCACCCGUGUUUAUUGUACCUUGUUGCUUCGGCGGGCCCGCCAUUCUGGCCGCCGGGGGGCUUGCCCCCGGGCCCGCGCCCGCCGAAGACACCCUCGAACUCUGUCUGAAGAUUGUAGUCUGAGUGGAAUUAUAAAUUAUUAAAACUUUCAGCAAUGGAUCUCUAGAUCGGAAG
rnacentral:misc_RNA from 1 species